UCCGAUAUGGUGUAACGGCUAACAUUACCGCCUUUCAUAAAUCACGUGAUUUUCACGCGGUAGCCCGGGGUUCGACUCCCCGUAUCGGAG
rfam:Phlebia centrifuga strain FBCC195 PHLCENscaffold_465, whole genome shotgun sequence.